rnacentral:rRNA from 1 species
CUGAGAGGAUGACCAGCCACACUGGAACUGAGACACGGUCCAGACUCCUACGGGAGGCAGCAGUGGGGAAUAUUGCACAAUGGGCGCAAGCCUGAUGCAGCCAUGCCGCGUGUAUGAAGAAGGCCUUCGGGUUGUAAAGUACUUUCAGCGGGGAGGAAGGGAGUAAAGUUAAUACCUUUGCUCAUUGACGUUACCCGCAGAAGAAGCACCGGCUAACUCCGUGCCAGCAGCCGCGGUAAUACGGAGGGUGCAAGCGUUAAUCGGAAUUACUGGGCGUAAAGCGCACGCAGGCGGUUUGUUAAGUCAGAUGUGAAAUCCCCGGGCUCAACCUGGGAACUGCAUCUGAUACUGGCAAGCUUGAGUCUCGUAGAGGGGGGUAGAAUUCCAGGUGUAGCGGUGAAAUGCGUAGAGAUCUGGAGGAAUACCGGUGGCGAAGGCGGCCCCCUGGACGAAGACUGACGCUCAGGUGCGAAAGCGUGGG